UACGUAGGUGGCAAGCGUUGUUCGGAAUUAUUGGGCGUAAAGGGCGCGUAGGCGGCUUGUUAAGUCGGCUGUGAAAGCCCGGGGCUCAACCCCGGAGGGUCGGCCGAUACUGGCGAGCUAGAGUACGGAAGAGGUAGCUGGAAUUCCCGGUGUAGCGGUGAAAUGCGCAGAUAUCAGGAAGAACACCCGUGGCUAAGGCGGCUCUCUAGUACGGUACUGACGCUGAGACGCGAAAGCGUGGGGAGCGAACAGG
rnacentral:rRNA from 1 species